rnacentral:rRNA from 1 species
GAUGAACGCUGGCGGCGUGCCUAAUACAUGCAAGUCGAGCGAAUGGAUUAAGAGCUUGCUCUUAUGAAGUUAGCGGCGGACGGGUGAGUAACACGUGGGUAACCUGCCCAUAAGACUGGGAUAACUCCGGGAAACCGGGGCUAAUACCGGAUAACAUUUUGAACCGCAUGGUUCGAAAUUGAAAGGCGGCUUCGGCUGUCACUUAUGGAUGGACCCGCGUCGCAUUAGCUAGUUGGUGAGGUAACGGCUCACCAAGGCAACGAUGCGUAGCCGACCUGAGAGGGUGAUCGGCCACACUGGGACUGAGACACGGCCCAGACUCCUACGGGAGGCAGCAGUAGGGAAUCUUCCGCAAUGGACGAAAGUCUGACGGAGCAACGCCGCGUGAGUGAUGAAGGCUUUCGGGUCGUAAAACUCUGUUGUUGGGGAAGAGCAAGUGCUAGUUGAAUAAGCUGGCACCUUGACGGUACCUAACCAGAAAGCCACGGCUAACUACGUGCCAGCAGCCGCCGCAG